UACGUAGGGCGCAAGCGUUAUCCGGAAUUAUUGGGCGUAAAGAGCUCGUAGGCGGUUUGUCGCGUCUGCCGUGAAAGUCCGGGGCUUAACCCCGGAUCUGCGGUGGGUACGGGCAGACUAGAGUGCAGUAGGGGAGACUGGAAUUCCUGGUGUAGCGGUGAGAUGCGCAGAUAUCAGGAGGAACACCGAUGGCGAAGGCAGGUCUCUGGGCUGUAACUGACGCUGAGGAGCGAAAGCAUGGGGAGCGAACAGG
rnacentral:rRNA from 1 species